rnacentral:rRNA from 1 species
GACGAACGCUGGCGGCGGGCCUAACACAUGCAAGUCGAACGCACUAGCAAUAGUGAGUGGCGCACGGGUGCGUAACACGUGGGUAAUCAACCCUUCAGCCUGGGAUAACGACUCGAAAGGGUCGCUAAUACCGGAUACGGCGCGAGAGGCUUCGGCUUCUCACGAGAAAGCCACGCAAGGGGCACUGAAGGACGAGCCUGCGGCCCAUCAGCUAGUUGGUGAGGUAAGAGCUCACCAAGGCUAAGACGGGUAGCUGGUCUGAGAGGAUGAUCAGCCACACUGGGACUGAGACACGGCCCAGACUCCUACGGGAGGCAGCAGUGGGGAAUAUUGGACAAUGGGGGAAACCCUGAUCCAGCAAUGCCGCGUGAAUGAAGAAGGCCUUAGGGUUGUAAAAUUCUUUUGUUCGUGAAGAUAAUGACGGUAGCGGACGAAUAAGCCCUGGCUAACUCUGUGCCAGCAGCCGCGGUAAAGUACAGUGU